GACGAACGCUGGCGGCGCGCCUAACACAUGCAAGUCGAACGAGCGAGAGAGAGCUUGCUUUCUCGAGCGAGUGGCGAACGGGUGAGUAACGCGUGAGGAACCUGCCUCAAAGAGGGGGACAACAGUUGGAAACGACUGCUAAUACCGCAUAAGCCCACGGCUCGGCAUCGAGCAGGGGGAAAAGGAGCAAUCCGCUUUGAGAUGGCCUCGCGUCCGAUUAGCUAGUUGGUGGGGUAACGGCCCACCAAGGCGACGAUCGGUAGCCGGACUGAGAGGUUGAACGGCCACAUUGGGACUGAGACACGGCCCAGACUCCUACGGGAGGCAGCAGUGGGGGAUAUUGCACAAUGGGGGAAACCCUGAUGCAGCGACGCCGCGUGGAGGAAGAAGGUCUUCGGAUUGUAAACUCCUGUUGUUGGGGAAGAUAAUGACGGUACCCAACAAGGAAGUGACGGCUAACUACGUG
rnacentral:rRNA from 1 species